CAGUAACCGCGGGAAUACGGAGGGUGCAAGCGUUAAUCGGAAUUACUGGGCGUAAAGCGCACGCAGGCGGUCUGACAAGUCAGAUGUGAAAUCCCCGGGCUUAACCUGGGAACUGCAUUUGAAACUGUCAGGCUGGAGUCUUGUAGAGGGGGGUGGAAUUCCAGGUGUAGCGGUGAAAUGCGUAGAGAUCUGGAGGAAUACCGGUGGCGAAGGCGGCCCCCUGGACAAAGACUGACGCUCAGGUGCGAAAGCGUGGGGAGCAAACAGGAUUAGAUACCCCAGUAGUCCCUGUCUCUUAUAC
rnacentral:rRNA from 1 species